rnacentral:rRNA from 1 species
CUGCGAAUGGGCUCAUUAUAUAAGUUAUCGUUUAUUUGAUAGUACCUUACUACUUGGAUAACCGUGGUAAUUCUAGAGCUAAUACAUGCUAAAAAUCCCGACUUCGGAAGGGAUGUAUUUAUUAGAUUAAAAACCAAUGCCCUUCGGGGCUCACUGGUGAUUCAUGAUAACUCCUCGAAUCGCAUGGCCUUGUGCCGGCGAUGGUUCAUUCAAAUUUCUUCCCUAUCAACUUUCGAUGUUUGGGUAUUGGCCAAACAUGGUUGCAACGGGUAACGGAGGGUUAGGGCUCGACCCCGGAGAAGGAGCCUGAGAAACGGCUACUACAUCCAAGGAAGGCAGCAGGCGCGCAAAUUACCCAAUCCCGACACGGGGAGGUAGUGACAAUAAAUACUGAUACAGGGCUCUUUUGGGUCUUGUAAUUGGAAUGAGUACAAUUUAAAUCCCUCAAAGGAGGAACAAUUGGAGGGCAAGUCUGGUGCCAGCAGCCGCGGUAAUUCCAGCUCCAAUAGCGUAUAUUAAAGUUGUUGUGGUUAAAAAGCUCGUAGUUGAACCUUGGGCCGGGCUGGACGGUCCGCCUCACCGCGUGUAAUGGUCCGGCCGGGCCUUUCCCUCUGUGGAACCCCAUGCCCUUCACGGGGUGUGGCGGGGAAACAGGACUUUUACUGCGAAAAAAUGAGAGUGCUCCAGGCAGGCCUAUGCUCGAAUACAUGAGCAUGGAAUAAUAGAAUAGGACGUGUGGUUCUAUUUUGUUGGUUUCUAGGACCGCCGUAAUGAUUAAUAGGGACAGUCGGGGGCAUCAGUAUUCAAUCGUCAGAGGUGAAAUUCUGGGAUUUAUUGAAGACUAACUACUGCGAAAGCAUUUGCCAAGGAUGUUUUCAUUAAUCAGGAACGAAAGUUAGGGGAUGGAAGACGAUCAGAUACCGUCGUAGUCUUAACCAUAAACUAUCCCGUCUAGGGAUCCGGAUCGGUGUUAUCUUUUGACCCGUUUAGGCACCCCUACGAGAAAUCUAAAGUGC